CCCGCUGAACUUAAGCAUAUCAAUAAGCGGAGGAAAAGAAACUAACAAGGAUUCCCUUAGUAACUGCGAGUGAAGAGGGAAGAGCUCAAAUUUGAAAUCUGGCGGUCCUUCGGCUGUCCGAGUUGUAGUUUAGAGAAGUGCUAUCCGCGCUGGCCUGUGCAUAAGUUUCUUGGAAAAGAACAUCAUGGAGGGUGACAAUCCCGUCUUUGGCACGGAUCCCAGGGCUUUUGUGAUGCGCUCUCGACGAGUCGAGUUGUUUGGGAAUGCAGCUCUAAAUGGGUGGUAAAUUCCAUCUAAAGCUAAAUAUUGGCGAGAGACCGAUAGCGAACAAGUACCGUGAGGGAAAGAUGAAAAGAACUUUGAAAAGAGAGUUAAACAGUACGUGAAAUUGUUGAAAGGGAAACGCUUGAAGUCAGUCGUGUCCUCUAGGGAUCAAGUCAGCUCUGGCUGGCCGUACUUUCUAGUUGGAUGGGUCAGCAUCAAUUUUGAUCGCUGGAUAAAGGCCUUGGGAAUGUGGCAUCUUCGGAUGUGUUAUAGACCAAGGUUCUGAUACAGCGGUUGGGAUUGAGGAACUCAGCGCGCCUUCGUGGUUGCGUUCAGGAUGCUGGCAUAAUGGCUUUAAUCGACCCGUCUUGAAACACGG
rnacentral:rRNA from 1 species